GUUUGGUUAAGUUAGAAAGGGCGCACGGUGGAUGCCUUGACACUAGGAGUCGAUGAAGGACGGGACUAACGCCGAUAUGCUUCGGGGAGCUGUAAGUAAGCUUUGAUCCGAAGAUUUCCGAAUGGGGAAACCCACCAUACGUAAUGGUAUGGUAUCCUUAUCUGAAUACAUAGGGUAAGGAAGACAGACCCAGGGAACUGAAACAUCUAAGUACCUGGAGGAAGAGAAAGCAAAUGCGAUUUCCUGAGUAGCGGCGAGCGAAACGGAACAUAGCCCAAACCAAGAGGCUUGCCUCUUGGGGUUGUAGGACAUUCUAUACGGAGUUACAAAGGAACGAGGUAGACGAAGCGACCUGGAAAGGUCCGUCGUAGAGGGUAACAACCCCGUAGUCGAAACUUCGUUCUCUCUUGAAUGUAUCCUGAGUACGGCGGAACACGUGAAAUUCCGUCGGAAUCUGGGAGGACCAUCUCCCAAGGCUAAAUACUCCC
rnacentral:rRNA from 1 species